CGUAGGGUGCAAGCGUUGUCCGGAAUUAUUGGGCGUAAAGAGCUCGUAGGCGGUUCUGUCGCGCCGCUGUAGAAACCUCGGGGCUCAACCCCGAGGCCUGCAGUCGAUACGGGCAGAACUAGAGUGUCUGUAGGGGAGACUGGAAUUCCUGGUGUAGCGGUGAAAUGCGCAGAUAUCAGGAGGAACACCGGUGGCGAAGGCGGGUCUCUGGGCAGUAAUUGACGCUGAGGAGCGAAAGCGUGGGGAGCGAACAGGAUUAGAUACCCUGGUAGUCCACGCCGUAAACGGUGGGUGCUAGGUGUGGAGCGGUAUUCCACGCCGUUCGUGCCGCAGCUAACGCAUUAAGCACCCCGCCUGGGGAGUACGGCCGCAAGGCUAA
rnacentral:rRNA from 1 species